rnacentral:misc_RNA from 1 species
GAUGAAGAACGCAGCGAAAUGGGAUAAGUAAUGUGAAUUGCAGAAUUCAGUGAAUCAUCGAAUCUUUGAACGCACAUUGCGCCCGCCAGUAUUCUGGCGGGCAUGCCUGUUCGAGCGUCAUUACAACCCUCAGGCCCCCGGGCCUGGCGUUGGGGAUCGGCGGAGCCCCCCGUGGGCACACGCCGUCCCCCAAAUGCAGUGGCGGUCCCGCCGCAGCUUCCAUCGCGUAGUAGCUAACACCUCGCGACUGGAGAGCGGCGCGGCCACGCCGUAAAACACCCAACUCUUCUGAAGUUGACCUCGAAUCAGGAAGGAAUACCCGCUGAACUUAAGCAUAUCAAUAAGCGGAGGA